UGAGUGGUAUAGUGGUUAGAGCGUCCGCCUUGGAUGUGGGAGGUCGUAGGUUCAAACCCCGGCCGAAUCAU